UGUAAUUUGUAGAGGAUGAUUUUGGUGCGGUAUCUUCCGAGUUCCUUGGAACAGGACGCCUUAGAGGGUGAGAGCCCCGUACGGUUGAAUGCCUAGCCUCUGUAAAUCUCCUUCGACGAGUCGAGUAGUUUGGGAAUGCUGCUCUAAAUGGGAGGUAAAUUUCUUCUAAAGCUAAAUAUUGGCCAGAGACCGAUAGCGCACAAGUAGAGUGAUCGAAAGAUGAAAAGCACUUUGAAAAGAGGGUUAAAUAGCACGUGAAAUUGUUGAAAGGGAAGGAUUUGUGACCAGACUUUUUCUGGGCGGAUCAUCCGGGGUUCUCUCCGGUGCACUUUGCCCAGUAAAGGCCAGCAUCGAUUUUCGGCGGCGGAUAAAAGCAGUGGGAAUGUGGCUCCCUACGGGGAGUGUUAUAGCCCAUUGUAUAAUACGCUGCUGGGGAUCGAGGUACGCGCUUCUGCAAGGAUGCUGGCGUAAUGGUUAUCAAUCACCCGUCUUGAAACACGGACCAAGGAGUCGAACAUUUAUGCGAGUGUUUGGGUGUUAAACCCUCACGCGUAAUGAAAGUGAACGGAGGUGAGAGCCCGUACGGGUGCAUCAUCGACCGAUCCUGAAGUUUUCGGAUGGAUUUGAGUAAGAGCAUAACUGUUCGGACCCGAAAGAUGGUGAACUAUGCGUGGAUAGGGUGAAGCCAGAGGAAACUCUGGUGGAGGCUCGCAGCGGUUCUGACGUGCAAAUCGAUCGUCAAAU
rnacentral:rRNA from 1 species